rnacentral:rRNA from 1 species
GCUUAGCCGUAAACUUUAAAUUACACUCAAAUCGCCAGGGAACUACGAGCAAAGCUUAAAACCCAAAGGACUUGACGGUACCCCACAUCCACCUAGAGGAGCCUGUCCUACAAUCGAUACCCCCCGCUAAACCUCACCACUUUUAGUUAACUCAGCCUGUAUACCUCCGUCGUCAGCUUACCACGUGAGCGCAACUCAGUGAGCUUAAUGCCAAUACGCCAACACGUCAGGUCAAGGUGCAGCAAAUAAAGUGGGAAGAGAUGGGCUACACUCUCUAACAUAGAAAACACGGAAGACUACCUAUGAAAUCUAGUCUAAAGGCGGAUUUAGAAGUAAAAAGAAAAAAGAAUGUUCUUUUUAACUUGGCACUGGGGUGUGUACACACCGCCCGUCACCCUCUUCAAAGCCAUCAAAAAGUAAAUAACCAACUAAUGCAACACAGAAGAGGCAAGUCGUAACAUGGUAAGUAUACCGGAAGGUGUGCUUGGAAA